UACGUAGGUGGCAAGCGUUGUCCGGAAUUACUGGGCGUAAAGCGUGCGCAGGCGGUUUUGUAAGACUGUCGUGAAAUCCCCGGGCUCAACCUGGGAAUGGCGAUGGUGACUGCAAGGCUAGAGUUUGGCAGAGGGGGGUAGAAUUCCACGUGUAGCAGUGAAAUGCGUAGAUAUGUGGAGGAACACCGAUGGCGAAGGCAGCCCCCUGGGUCAAAACUGACGCUCAUGCACGAAAGCGUGGGGAGCAAACAGG
rnacentral:rRNA from 1 species